rnacentral:misc_RNA from 1 species
GUAGGUGAACCUGCGGAAGGAUCAUUACCGAGUGAUGCGAGCGAUCGCACUCUCCACCCUUGUUUUGUGUCAUGUUGCUUUGGCGGACGUGGACGUGCGAGAAGUCCGCAAGGAUUCCUGCGAGUCUGUGCGGGCUGGGCGGCCUCUUUGACGUCUGCAAUGCGUUGCAGAACGCCGAGAGUUCUGUCCGGCCUCCGUCGCCAGAGACCCAAACUCUGAAUACUGUGUCGUCUGAGAAGAAAAAAACAAA